AUUGCAUUCCCCUAAAAGAUAUGUUGAAGUCCUAACCCCCCGCUGGGGGUUGUGAAUGUGAUCUUAUUUGGAAAUAGUUGUGUUUUCAGAUGUAAUUGAAAGUUAAGAUGAGUCAUACUCGACGAGGGUGGACCCUAAUCCAAUGUGACAGGCGUCCUUAUUAGAAGAGAGGAGACACACGGAGAAUGCCAUGUGGCGGUGGAGGCUGGGAUUGGAGCGCACAGCCAGGGAGCUCCCAGGACUGCCAGCAACACCAGGAACUAGAAGGAGGCAAGGAUGGUUCCCCCCAGAGCCUCCAGGGAGUGCAUGGCCGGCUGACACCCUGAGCUCAGACUCCCAGCCUCUGAAUCCGGGAGCAACAUCCGUGGCUUCUGCUCCUCCGAGUGACCCCGACAACCUGAAGAAUCGCAGGAAGCGGCUCUGGGAUCCGCUAAUUAGCUUUGGACGUCUUCCCUCAGGCCUGGCCCGGGACUGGCGCCCUUGGGCCCCCCUUGAUUAGACACCAUGGCCCUUCUUCUGCCUUCCAAGUGCCUCCUCCCUUUCCUUCUCCAGGAGCGGGACCAGGUGACGAGGCUCCAGGACCCCUCAUGGCAGCCUCUGUUCUCAAACCUCACCCAGCCCCCAGGCCCAGCAACCAACCCAGUCUCUUCAUACCUGGGAGCAAGAAUGACCACCGACAGCGAACAUGUGCCCCCGUGGCCGAAGGUCUUUACGUGGGUUUUCCCAUUCAAUUCUCAAAAUAACCCUCCCGGCAGGGGUAUCUGUUAUGCUCAUCAUAGAAGGGAAUAGAAGCUCUGAGUGAUGAACUAGUGGAGAGGUCAGGAUUUGAACUCGGGCAGCCCAGUUCCAGGGCCUGAAAACGACUGGCCCCGCUCAGCUUCCGGAUUGCUUCUCCUGGACCGGGUGACCCUGCCUGGCCUGGCGAGCGAUGGCACAGGACGGGAAGGGCUCGCACAGCACCCAGGGCUGCGGAGGGAGGGGCAGCCAGGGCUCUCGCUGGAACAGAAGCUGCUCCAGGGCAGGGGUUUCGUCUGUUUUGUGCUCUGACACAUCCCAGGCCUAGAACCGCACCUGGCACACAGCAGGCACUCGGGGGCUGCUUGCGGAAUGA